UUACUGACUGGCAUGGUUAUUCUGUGUCUUUUUGGAGGUUUGAAAUCCAAUCUAAUCCUCUUGUAUCCAUCUCACAGCUCUAAAAUGGCAAAUGCUUUGAGAGUUGGUUGUGUUAUCUCUCUCUGCUCCUUACGGAAUACCACACCCCAUCUUCCCCUUCUCUCCAACGCCACGCGCUUCCGUUCCAAGUUCCCGUUUUUCACCCUCUCAUCGUCGCAAAACUCAUUUGGGUCUCCUUCAUUUCGAACACUCUCUUCUUCUUCCAUUGAUGAAGCAGUAACCACCGAAGCCAUCACGGGGAAUGCAAGUGGUGAAGCUGAGAGCAGUAUUAGGGACUCCGCGGGGCUGCUUGACAUAAGGGUUGGACGCAUUCUGAGGGCAUGGAAACACGAUGAAGCUGAUUCCCUGUAUGUUGAAGAGGUUGAUAUCGGUGAGCCUGAACCCAGAAUCAUAUGCAGUGGCCUUGUCAAGUACAUCCCUAUUGAACACCUUCAGGGCAAAAAGGUUAUUGUCCUUUCCAACCUGAAGCCAAGAAAUAUGCGUGGUGUCAAGUCCUGCGGAAUGCUGAUGGCGGCUUCUGAUGCAAAGCAUGAGAAUGUUGAACUUCUGUUCCCUCCCGAGGAAGCAGCUCCUGGUGAAAGAAUAUGGUUUGGAACUGAAGAUGAAAAAGAUAAUCAACCUGCUGCUGCCACUCCGAAUCAGAUACAAAAGAAAAAGAUAUGGGAAUUGGUGCAACCUCAUCUCAAGACAGAUGUUUCUUGCAUUGCGAUGCUAGGGGAGCAUGUCAUGCGUACAUCUGUAGGUUCAGUAGCAUGCCAGUCCUUGCAGAAUGCAAAUAUCUCCUGAUCAGCCAACACCUAUCAUUGUUUUUUGGGGGGCUAAUUUCUUGAGGGUCACAAGCAAAUUUGUCGGCCAAUUUGUAAGUACUAGGAUAGACCCACCUCCAGGUCAUGAUGAUUCUCAUUAUUCACGCUUCAUUCAUCUUCGUCUAAUGAAAGGGAUUUUCUGCAGGUCGAUGUAAUCAUAAUUUGGCUUCUGCUAUCCGAAGCUUGCCCCUGGGAUAUAAUUGUCUGGGAAUAUUGCAUUCGGUCAAUACUAGCAGGGGCUUAAAAUAACGGAGUUUGUCUCUUUCUCA